GCGAACGCUGGCGGCAGGCCUAACACAUGCAAGUCGCACGCACCUUUCGGGGUUAGUGGCGGACGGGUGAGUAACACGUGGGAACGUGCCUUUAGGUUCGGAAUAACUCAGGGAAACUUGUGCUAAUACCGAAUGUGCCCUUCGGGGGAAAGAUUAAUCGCCUUUAGAGCGGCCCGCGUCUGAUUAGCUAGUUGGUUGAGGUAAUGGCUCACCAAGGCGACGAUCAGUAGCUGGUCUGAGAGGAUGAUCAGCCACAUUGGGACUGAGACACGGCCCAAACUCCUACGGGAGGCAGCAGUGGGGAAUCUUGCGCAAUGGGCGAAAGCCUGACGCAGCCAUGCCGCGUGAAUGAUGAAGGUCUUAGGAUUGUAAAAUUCUUUCACCGGGGACGAUAAUGACGGUACCCGGAGAAGAAGCCCCGGCUAACUUCGUG
rnacentral:rRNA from 1 species